GACUGCCAGAGGGCUUGGUCUACGAACAUCGAGGUGGUUCUCACAGGGAGGCAGACUUGGGACUCGUGGCUACACUGUGCUCCCGGGUGAGCGUGCGGCGUGGCGGCCAUCCGCGCAGGCACCGUGCCAUGCAGCCGUCGCCACCAUCCAGUCUAGAACACUCCUGUCACCCCUGCUGGAACCUCUGCCCAUUCAGCAAGACCCCUCUCGUCCUCCCCUGCCGGGGCCUCCACCUACCCAUCUCCACGAGCACCUUGUCCCAGCACGUCAUAGAAGGGAGACCUUACGGUAUUUGUGUUGUGUCUUGCCCACUUAGCAUGUUUUUGAGGCUUUUCCGCAUUAAUGCACAUAUCGAAGUCUCACUCCUCUCAAGGCGGAACGCUGCAUCUGGCCUGCUGUCUGUGUGUCCGCGGGCUCUCAGGCUGUCCCCACUGGUGUUGGAGCAGUGCUGCUGAGCAUGACCAGCCAGAGCGUCUCCGGCUGCUCCCAGUCCUGCGGAGGGGACACCUGGCGGUGGGGUUGCUAGCUUGAUCAGAGAGAGGAAAAGUAAGGAAGUAAGCCACCAGAUCUGGGACUUGAACUGCAGUCAGCCGUGUAGGAGUCCAGCGCCUUUAACUACCACGCCAUGCUGGCCCCCAGCUUUAUCUUUUUAAAGAAUGGCUGUAAAGUUUGUGAAGCCCUAAAUUUUAAAUAAAUUUUAUCAAGUUGA